CUUGAAUAUUAUUAUAGAUAGAGAUAAACUGUAAACAGCAAUAAUGUUCAGCAAUGUAAGAUUUACAAAUAAGUCAACAUGACCAAAAUGGUCAGUUGACCCCUUUAGGAGUUAUUGAUCUUUAUAGUCAAUUUUUAACCAUUUUUCGUAAAUCUUAGUAAUCUUUUACAAAAAUCUUCUCCUCUGAAACUAUUGGGCCAAAUUAAUCCAAACUUGGCCACAAUCAUCUUUGGGAUAUCUAGUUUAAAAAAUGUGUGGCGUGACCCGGCCAACCAACAAAGAUGGCCACCAUGGCUAAAAAUAGAACAUAGGGGUAAAAUGCAGUUUUUGGCUUAUAACUCGAAAACCAAAGCAUUAAGAGCAAAUCUGACAUGCGAUAAAAGUGUUUAUCAGGUCAAGAUUUAUCUGUCCUGAAAUUUUCAGAUUAAUCGGACAACCUGUUGUUGGGUUGCUGCCCCUGAAUUGGUAAUUUUAAG
rnacentral:lncRNA from 1 species